GAACCAGAUGAACCGGGUAGUUGGGAUUUUUGAAGCCAGGGUAGAACGGGGGACUUCUAGGUGUAUUGACGGGGUAGAAGUUGGGUGGAUACCCUUGGUAUGGAAAUGGUGUGUCAGCUGGUGCUGCUGCAGGAUGGUAUAAAGUCGGAGGUACGUCCGGUGGUGGAUUAUAAUAAAUCUGAGGAAUUGGUGCACCUGAAAAAAGAAACACGUAACUGAAUUCGUUAAUACGAUAAACGAUAUUUUUUGACAGGUUUCAAACUCCUGUUAACGUUUAAAAUCGAAUAAUUCAUAUUAACACGACGCCUUUCAAUGUUCUGGCAAACAUGUUGUGUCUCUAAUCAUGUGCCAAGCAGUAAAUCGCAACUAUCGUCUCAUCGUGAUGAUAAAACAACAUCUGAGCGCAUCUUCCUCAUCAAGGGACUGCUAAACGACAGUGUAUAUCUGUGUCAGGAUGUUUAUGUGCCUGUGAUGUGUGUGGAUAAGUUAAACUAUUGUGUAUUCUCUUAUAUACGGGAUUCGAUUAAUUAUAUCUUUCAUAAAGCUAUUUAGCAUAUAAAAAUUUUUUAUGUGAAAUUUUAGUACAUUUUUUAAAUUGUCAUUGUAAAAAAAUAUAUACGUUGCCUAUGACAUUACUUAUGGGUUAAUGUCUGAUACUCUGGUAAGUAUAUCAAAUAAAUUAAAAAUAAAUUAAAAUAUCACUGGUUUUAGACGCCAAUCGUUGAUUGCUGAGGCGGGUAAUUGACAAUUGACAUACCUGAUACAUUGAAAUAAUUGUAUUAUUUAAUUUAAAUAAUAAAAUUGUUUCCUAAC